AGUAGAGAAAGUGCAAGAGGGAAGAGUUACCCGGGCUAGAGAGGACAGCGGGCCGCAGGUUUAGUCCUGGCUGUGGAGUGGGAUGCUGAGAUGGGUCUGGAGGGAUGCAGGAUGUUCUAGUCCCAGUUAGGAUGAUAAAUAGGGACCUCGCUCCGAGAGGGAUGCUGAACGGAGUCUGGAAGAAUGCAAGAUGUCCUGGUCCGGGCCAGGAAUGGAGACAGUGCCUCACAUAUUCCAGGCUGGCCUGGAACCCACUAUGUAGUCAAGAGUUACCUUAAACCUCCGAUUCUCUUGCCUUCACCUUCCUAGUACUGGGAUGACAGACACAUGACACCGCACACAGUGGUGCUGAGGAUGGAACUCGGGACUUCAUGCCUGCUAGGUGUGAUGUGCAUGCUUUUAAUCCCAGCACUCAGGAGGCG